GACGAACGCUGGCGGCGUGCUUAACACAUGCAAGUCGAACGGAAAGGCCCUGCUUUUGUGGGGUGCUCGAGUGGCGAACGGGUGAGUAACACGUGAGUAACCUGCCCUUGACUUUGGGAUAACUUCAGGAAACUGGGGCUAAUACCGGAUAGGAGCUCCUGCUGCAUGGUGGGGGUUGGAACGUUUCGGCGGUUGGGGAUGGACUCGCGGCUUAUCAGCUUGUUGGUGGGGUAGUGGCUUACCAAGGCUUUGACGGGUAGCCGGCCUGAGAGGGUGACCGGGCACAUUGGGACUGAGAUACGGCCCAGACUCCUACGGGAGGCAGCAGUGGGGAAUAUUGCACAAUGGGCGGAAGCCUGAUGCAGCAACGCCGCGGGCGGGAUGACGGCCUUCGGGUUGUAAACCGCUUUCGCCUGUGACGAAGCGUGAGUGACGGUAAUGGGUAAAGAAGCACCGGCUAACUACGUG
rnacentral:rRNA from 1 species